UGCUAUGGCCAUGCCACCCUGAACGUGCUGAUCUCAUCUGAUCUCAGAAGCUAAGCAGGGUUGGGCCUGAUUAGUACUUGGAUGGGAGACCAGCUGGGAACAUCGAGUGCUGUAGGCA
ensembl:rRNA 5S_rRNA 5S ribosomal RNA